rnacentral:rRNA from 1 species
GGACGAACGCUGUCGGCGUGCUUAACACAUGCAAGUCGAACGGAAAGGCCCUGCUUUUGUGGGGUGCUCGAGUGGCGAACGGGUGAGUAACACGUGAGUAACCUGCCCUUGACUUUGGGAUAACUUCAGGAAACUGGGGCUAAUACCGGAUAGGAGCUCCUGCUGCAUGGUGGGGGUUGGAAAGUUUCGGCGGUUGGGGAUGGACUCGCGGCUUAUCAGCUUGUUGGUGGGGUAGUGGCUUACCAAGGCUUUGAAGGGUAGCCGGCCUGAGAGGGUGACCGGCCACAUUGGGACUGAGAUACGGCCCAGACUCCUACGGGAGGCAGCAGUGGGGAAUAUUGCACAAUGGGCGGAAGCCUGAUGCAGCAACGCCGCGUGCAGGAUGACGGCCUUCGGGUUGUAAACCGCUUUCGCCUGUGACGAAGCGUGAGUGACGGUAAUGGGUAAAGAAGCACCGGCUAACUACGUG